rnacentral:rRNA from 1 species
GGAUAACCUGCCCUAUGCUCCGGGAUAACCUCGGGAGACUGAGAAGAAUACCGGAUAGACCACAACGCCUGGAACGGUGUGUGGUUGGAAGGUCACGGCAUAGGAUGGGUCUGCGGCGUAUCAGGUCGUAGGGGGUGUAACGGACCUCCUAGCCAUCGACGCGUACGGGUUGUGGGAGCAAUAGCCCGGAGAUGGAUUCUGAGACACGAAUCCAGACCCUACGGGGUGCAGCAGGCGCGAAAACUUCACACUGCAGGAAACUGUGAUGAGGGAACUCCAAGUGACUGCACAUUGUGUAGCCUUUUCUUUACUAUUAAUCGGUAUUGGAAUAAGGGCUGGGAAAGACCGGUGCCAGCCGCCGCGGUAAUACCGGCAGCUCAAGUGGUCGUCGCUUUUAUUGGGCCUAAAACGUCCGUAGCCUGUUUGGUAAAUCUGUGGGUAAAUCAACCAGCUUAACUGGUUGAAUUCUGCAGAGACUGCCAGACUACGGACCGGGAGAGGUGUGGGGUACUCUAGGGGUAGGGGUAAAAUCCUGUCAUCCCUAGAGGACCACCAGUUGCGAAGGCGCCACACUGGAACGGAUCCGACGGUCAGGGACGAAGCCUGGGGGCACGAACCGGAUUAUAUACCCGGGUAGUCCUAGGUGUAAACGCUGUGAACUUGGUGUCGGGAGUCCGCAAUGGGCCCCCGGUGCCGGAGUGAAGAUGUUAAGUUCACUGCCUGGGGAGUACGGUCACAAGGCUGAAACUU